UACGGAGGGGGCCAGCGUUGUUCGGAAUUAUUGGGCGUAAAGGGCGCGUAGGCGGCCGGAUAAGUCAGACGUGAAAUCCCCCGGCUUAACCUGGGAACUGCGUCUGAUACUGGACGGCUUGAGUAUGGGAGAGGGAUGUAGAAUUCCAGGUGUAGCGGUGAAAUGCGUAGAUAUCUGGAGGAAUACCGGUGGCGAAGGCGGCAUCCUGGACCAUUACUGACGCUGAGGCGCGAAAGCUAGGGGAGCAAACGGG
rnacentral:rRNA from 1 species